rnacentral:rRNA from 1 species
UACGUAGGGGGCUAGCGUUGUCCGGAUUUACUGGGUUUAAAGGGUGCGCAGGCGGAUAUGUAAGUCAGUGGUGAAAUCUCUAGGCUUAACCUGGAAAUUGCCGUUGAUACUAUAUAUCUUGAAUGUUGUGGAGGUAAGCGGAAUAUGUCAUGUAGCGGUGAAAUGCUUAGAUAUGACAUAGAACACCUAUUGCGAAGGCAGCUUACUACGCAGAUAUUGACGCUCAUGCACGAAAGCGUGGGGAUCAAACAGG